rnacentral:rRNA from 1 species
GAUGAACGCUGGCGGCAUGCCUAACACAUGCAAGUCGGACGGGAAACACGGGACACGGUGUUUCCGGUUGCGUACGGGUUAGUAACGCGUACGAACCUUCCCUUGGGCGGGGAGCAACAGCUGCAAACGGCUGCUAAUACCCCCUAGGCUGAGGUUCAUCGGGAUGAAUCCGCCCGGGGGGGGGCUCGCGUCUGAUUAGCUAAUUUGUGUGGCAAUAGCUUACCAAGUCGAUGAUCAGUAGCUGGUCCGAGAGAAUGAGCAGAGACACUGGGACUGAGACACGGGGCAGAGUCCUAUGGGAGGCAGCAGAGGGGAAAAUAUCGGAAUGGGGGAAAGAGUGACGGAGAAAUGCGGCGUGGAGGUAGAGGGGGCAUGAGUCGUGAAAUGCUUUUUCCGGAGAAGAAGCAAUGACGGUAUCUGGAGAAUAAGCAUCGGCUAACUCCGUG